GUGCCAGCAGCCGCGGUAAUACGAAGGGUGCAAGCGUUAAUCGGAAUUACUGGGCGUAAAGCGCGCGUAGGUGGUUUGUUAAGUUGGAUGUGAAAGCCCCGGGCUCAACCUGGGAACUGCAUCCAAAACAGGCAAGCUAGAGUAUGGCAGAGGGUGGUGGAAUUUCCUGUGUAGCGGUGAAAUGCGUAGAUAUAGGAAGGAACACCAGUGGCGAAGGCGACCACCUGGGCUAAUACUGACACUGAGGUGCGAAAGCGUGGGGAGCAAACAGGAUUAGAUACCCGUGUAGUCC
rnacentral:rRNA from 1 species